rnacentral:lncRNA from 1 species
GUCAGUAUAGACUUAUGGUAGAAAAAUUAUCAACUUUACAAGUUACAGGAAAAGAAAUUAAAGUGUCGUGGGAAAAUGAUAUGAGGAAAAAUGAAUUUAUUGCAGAAGAUUGUUAUGACAAUCGGUUAGAAAUGUCGGAACAAAGAAAAGCUAUUGAAGAGUUCGGAGUGCAAAAUAGCAAAGUAUUUAAAUCGGUUACACAUGAGGAAUUUCAUAAAAGCAAUAGCCAACUAUGGCGAGAGGAACACGAGUAUGCACAAGUUGAAUUGGAUGAAAUGGAUGAACCGGAUGGCGCCGAUGUACAAGCAUGUGAUACAGAAGCGGAUACCAUACAAACGGAAAGUACAGAAGCAUGUACCAUAGAAACAGAUGACACCAUUGAUCAAUUAAAAAAAAAUAAAAAGGAUAAGAUAAAACGAAUUCUUUCUGAAUAUAACGAACCUGAUAGCAUUUUAGUACCAGAGGAUGAAAGCUUCACAUUUUUGAACGAGACCCAAAAUAAUGACUUACAACAACCUAACAAGGAGCAAAAGAAUUUUAUUAUCAAUAAGUAUGCAAAUAGUGAAAACGAUUUAUUAUUAAAAUCGUUUGACACGAUUAACGACGAAUGUAGUGUGAAACAUUCGAAUAGUGAUGAUAUUUAUGGCAACAAUGGCACUGUAGACUGUUUAAACAAGUCAUCAGCACCAUCAACAUCAUCAACAUCAUCAACAUCAUCAACAUCGUUAGCAAUGUCUCGUACAACUGUUCAAAUUAUGAACGAAUCGGAAAAUAUUAAUAACUACAAAAAUGAUAAAGUCAUAAACAGUAAUUAUUCGAACCAAACGGACACUACUACUGCUACUACUGCUACUACUGCUGCUACUGCUACUACUGCUGCUACUGCUACUACUGCUACCACUGAUACCAGUACUAUAGAAAAAGAGCAAAUAGAAGCUAGCGACCAGGAAGAAAAAAAAACAUAUACAGAACAAAACAAAGAUGAGUUUUUUAAGUGUUCGGAAAAUUUUGCACAUAAUAAAGCACAUGUAUCAGUACAGGGAAAAGGCAGAAAAAACAAAUAUUCAUCUUAUCUUUAUAAUACGUAUAAGUAUUCAUCAACAGAUGAACAACACAAAGCAGAAAGAUCACCAACCAUUUAUGAUGAAAAUGAUAGGGAGGACACGAAACGAUUAAAUGAACCAUGGUAUUAUGAAAAGAAUGAAAACGCAUGGGCUGAUAAAGUUCUACAAAGAAACGAAGAACUUAUGGAAAAAUGGAGAAAUAAAACGAGACAAAGAAAUAUUGAAAAGGAAAGACAACUUUUUUAUGAAAAACAAAUGAUACUAAAAAAUGAAAUUUUAAAAAGAAAUGUUUUAGGAGAACCUAAAUUAACUGAAGAAGAAAUCAAUGCUUAUCUGUCUAAUGAAAAGAUAACAAAAAAUAGUAGUAAUAAUGAUACACAAGAUUAUUCAUCGAAUGCAAAGCAAGAAAUCAAAUUACCACAAAAAAAUUGCCCUGUAAUACCUAUUAUCAUAAGAACUAAUUAUGUUGGAAUGUUUGAUAUUUUUUUGGAUGAAUUUGAAAACUUACAAAAAAAACAUAACGUUAAAAUACUUGUUGUUCAUGGUGGUAUAGGUCCUAUCACACCAAAUGAUGUUGUGCAUGCUGAAGUAGAAAGUAAUUAUGGUUACUGUUGUAUUUAUGCUUUUCAUGUUAAGGUGUUGCCAGAUUCUGUAAAACAAGCGGUUCUUUCAAAUAUUGUAAUAAAAAAGUUUGAUGUUUUUACAGAUGUUAUAAAUGAUAUUAUUCAAAGAAUCAAAAAUAUAAAAACAUUGGUUGCGCAUAACAUGUAUGUAAGAAGUCUAAAAACUGAAGGGACACAAGAGGGUAUAUAAAAAGUAGAACAGAACAAUCGUAAAUUAAUUUUACUAUUCCAUAGAAAACAAAAGAAAUGUAAUAAAAUGUAUAAAAGUGCAAUACA